ensembl:lncRNA
UGUUACCCACAUCCAUGGAGAUAGAUUAUUUAUUAUAUAAUUCACCAAACUAAUGUCAUGUGCCCAAGUUGCAAUACCGCAAACUCUAAGGUAUGUUCAUGCAAUUCAAUGAAGGAGAAAGACUUUCAGACACAGGUGUACCUGACAUGAUAAAUGUGGGUAGGACUCUGGGCUUGAGUGUCAUUGUCCAGCCAUGUUUCAGAAGUGUGACCUGUCAGGGAAGAACCAGAGUUCCUUGUGCUCUCAGAGGGGAAGGCACACAGAUAUCCUCUCUUGUUCCCAGGAAAGGCAAUUGCACUAAUCUUGAUGAUGAGACUAUGCUCCUGUGCUGGCCUAUUAUAGUUUUUGACUGAAAUAGUCACUGUGAUCCCCAAUCACAUCUAUUCACACAGAAGUGUAUAAAGGUCAGGCCACAUUAUCAGCAUCACACAUUGACAUGUUUGAGAUAUGUCCCACUACCUUCUCCUGAGAUUGCAGACAAAAUCCCAAACUUCAAACGUUCACAAAAGGGAAGGUCUCAGAUUUUUUUUUUUUAAUGAUGCACUCUCUGGGACAGAUAUAUUCCCUCUAACCAUGAUGGAUAUUCUGAAUUACAAUAAACAUUGCAUGGAUGUAGGUUUUUAUAAAUUCACUGUGACUAAUAUAUUUAGCUGCUCCUCAAAUAUUUUGAAUAGAGAUUUGACAAUUUAGAUAACCUGGAUGUUUGGUUGGUUUCAUAUAAAUCUUCACGAGUAGAACAGCAUUGAACCUAUUCCAAAAUCUGUCCUCGAUCCAUGAUCACACUCAUCUCCCAGACCAGCUCCUUGAGCACAUCUCCCUACCUGGAAGAAGACUACUCUGGGCUUGGUGAGGGGAGGCCCCAGGAAGAGGACUGAGUUCUCAGAGGACACAGCCAGCAUCUUCCUCUCAGGGGUCCAGCUCACAUGGGAAAUGCUCUCUGAGAGUCACGGACAUCCUGUGCAAGAACAUGAAGCACCUGUGGUUCUUCCUCCUCCUGGUGGCAGCUCCCAGAUGGGUCCUGUCCCAGGUGAAGCUGCAGCAGUGGGGGAAGGACUGGUGAAGCCUUGGGAGACCCUGUCCCUCACCUGCGCUGUCAUGGUGGUUACUACUACUGGGCUGGAUCCGCCAGCCCCAGGGAGGGACUGGAGUGGAUUGGGAAUAUUGAUGGUAAUAGUGCGAGCACCAACUACAACCCCUCCCUCAAGAAUCGAGUCACCAUUUCAAAAGACACGUCCAAGAACCAGUUCUCCCUGAAGCUGAGCUCUGUGACCGCCCGGACCGGCCGUGUAUUACUGUGCGAGAGACACAGUGAGGGGAGGUGAGUGUGAGCCAGACACAAACCUCCCUGCAGGGGAGGCGGAGGCAGGCGCAGGUGCCGCUCAGGACCAGCAGGGGGAGCGCGGGGCCCACAGAGCAGGAGGCCGGGUCAGGAGCAGGUGCAGGGAGGGCGGGGCUUCCUCAUCUGCUCAGUGCUCUCCCUCCUCACCAGCACCUCAGCUGUCCCCAGGGCUCCUCUUUCUUUGAUAUCUGUGGUUCUGCUUCCUCACAUUCUUCUGCCAGAAAGGAGGAAGGCACAUUUUCCUCUUACAAUUGAGGUUUCACUGAUUACUAGGAA